rnacentral:tRNA from 1 species
GUUAGCUCAGCUGGUAGAGCAUUUCCCUUUUAAGGAAGUGGCCGAUGGUUCGAAUCCAUCAC